rnacentral:lncRNA from 1 species
AGUUACCUGUGAGUGUACCUGUACCUGUAUCGACCGCCUGAUCCCCCACAUGUACAGCACCAUCCAGGUGAGUUACCUGUGAGUGUACCUGUACCUGUAUCAGCCAGGUGAGUCAGUCUGGGGGUUACCUGUACCUGUAUCUGUACCUGUAUCGACCGCCUGAUCCCCCACAUGUACAGCAUCAUGCAGGUGAGUUACCUGUGACUGUACCUGUGAUUGUACCUGUGACUGUACCUGUAUCGACCGCCUGAUCCCACACGUGUACAGCAUCAUCCAGGUGAGUUACCUGUGACUGUACCUGUACGUGUACCAGGAUCAGCCAGGUGAAUCUGGUGUCACCUGUACCUGUACCUGUACAGCAUCAUCAAAGUAAGUCUGUACCUGUACCAGCCAGGGGAGUCUGGGGGUUACCUGGGCACAGGUGAGUCUGGGGUCACAGUACAGCAUCAUACAGGUGAGUCACCUGUACCUGUGACUGUACCUGUAUCAGCCAGGUGAGUCACCUAUACCUGUACAGCAUCAUCCAGGUGAGUUUGUACCUGUAUCUGUACCUGUGCCUGUACCUGUACCAGCCAGGUGAGUCUGGGGGUUACCUGUAGCUAUACUCGUACCUGUACCUGUACCAGCCAGGUGAGUCUGGGGGUUACCUGUACCUAUACCCAUACCUGUACCUGUACCAGCCAGGUGAGUCUGGGGGCUACCUGUACCUAUACCAGUACCUGUACCUGUACCAGCCAGGUGAGUCUGGGGGUUACCUGUACCUAUACCAGUACCUGUACCUGUACCAGCCAGGUGAGUCUGGGGGUUACCUGUACCUGUACCAGCCAGGUGAGUCUGGGGGUUACCUGUACCUAUACCUGUACCUGUACCUGUACCAUCCAGGUGAGUCUGGGGGUUACCUGGGUACAGGUGAGGGACUGGGGGUUGUCACCUGUACCUGUACAGCAUUAUCCAGGUGAGUCUGGGGUCACCUGUACCUGUGCCUGUACCAGCCAGGUGAGUCUGGGGGGUUACCUGUACUCAGCUGAGGGGUCUGGGGCACAGUUUGGGGUCACCUGUGCCCAGGUGAGGUGUCUGGGGCACGGUCCAGGGGUCACCUGUGCCCAGGUGAGGGGUUUGAGGUGUACUUUAGGUGUCACCUGUGCCCAGGUGAGGUGUCUGGGGUGUGGUCCAGGUGUCACCUGUGCCCAGGAGAGGUGUCUGGGGUGUCACCUGUGCCCAGGUGAGCAGUUUGGGGUGUACUUUAGGUGUCACCUGUGCCCAGGUGAGCAGUCUGGGGUGUGUUUCAGAUGUCACCUGUGCCCAGGUGAGCAGUUUGGGGUGUGGUCCAGGUGUCACCUGUGCCCAGGUGAGCAGUUUGGGGUGUGGUUCAGGUGUCACCUGUGCCCAGGUGAGGUGUCCGGGGUGUAUUUCGGGUGUCACCUGUGCCCAGGUGAGGUGUCCGGGGUGUAUUUCGGGUGUCACCUGUGCCCAGGUGAGGUGUCCGGGCUGUAUUUCGGGUGUCACCUGUGCCCAGGUGAGGUGUCCGGGGUGUGUUUCGGGUGUCACCUGUGCCCAGGUGAGGUGUCCGGGGUGUAUUUCGGGUGUCACCUGUGCCCAGGUGAGGUGUCCGGGCUGUA